rnacentral:tRNA from 1 species
AUUUGUUUAGUAUAUAAAGUAUACUUGACUUCCAAUUAAGAGGACUGAAAAAUUCAGAACAAAUA